rnacentral:lncRNA from 1 species
UUUCCCAGAGUUAGGGGUCUCUCAUGGUCUGUCUCCCUUUCUGAUAUUUCCCCCCCAGUUUUUCCUCCUUUCCCCUUUAUUCCCUUUCACUAUUUUUUAUAUUCCCCAAAUGAAUGGGACCAUAACUUAAAUGCAUUUACCAGCAUGUAGUCUGACACCCAGCUAAGCAUUGGUGCGGAGUGUAUGUCUGAUGGGUAGACGGGCUUGUCGGCUGGGGGGGUUUCUGCAGCGAGGCCGCGUGGGGAGCCAGUUCUAACCCGAAGGCCUGUGUCAACAGGAGGCGUGUCCUCUUGGCCUGUUUUGUUUCUCAGAGGAGGGUGUCUGGGUGCCCUGCUUGGGGGGGCGAGGGAGGGGCAGCUGACUGCCCAGCUGACCAGGUGCGAGCUUUGUGACGAGCUUCCCUGUGUCCAGCCCCGGUGCGCUGUGCCCCUGGCUUGGUCCCAGGCUGUGGGGAGGGGCCUGGCACACCCCGCCCACAGCCGCCCCACACCUGCCCUGGACCCGCCGGACCUCGGACGUGCCAAGGCCCCACAGCAGCUGUCUUUGGAGAUGGUCAGAUCCUAAAUUUGUGUCUGGGCUAAGGCAGGCCCGUUUCUGCUCCUCCUCUGUCAAACGUUUUGCCUGGCAUUCUGCAGAAGCAUUGCUGUAUCUUACCAGACAGGAAUACAGACCAAGAAGCAAGGAAGGAAUCUGUGCUUCCGAAUUUCUCAGGAGCAGAUUUGAAGCCUGGAAGGUCACUGCUGAAGCUCUUAGGCUCAACGCCAGGCUUGCUGGGAGAGGGAGCGACGGAAGACCGCGUGACAGAACCCCAUGAAUUGGCUCCACCCCGAAAGGUGCUCCUUUCCCUGCAUGGUCACCAGCGUUUGUGUCCUUCAUGCUGGGGACCGUGCAGAGCCCAUGCAUGGAUUUUCUUGGCUUCUGCGCAUCCGUGUGUGCUGCUGCCAUCGCCCCAUUUCGCAGAUGAAGAGUCAGCUGUGUGGAGCGCAGCCAGGUGUGCGGACGGGCUUUGCUCCUUGCCAUCAGACCCCAGAGCUCUUUGUCGCCACGUUUUAAAAACUGUGCUACACAAAUACGGUUUUCCUAGCUGAUUUUCAAAGAGCAUUCUCAGUACUUCCUUGUGGUCCUAUGACCUCACGCUAUAAUUAAGGGGAGAGAGGUCUUAGUGAGAAGUCACAGUGAGCAUAUUUAACUAAACCCAUGCUGAGAAAAUUGUCUGCAAGAAAUGAAUGGUUUGCAUUAAAAAGAGCCAAGCUUUAGGGGAAGGCCAGAUUUAAUGGGGCCGCAUUCAGCAGGCCCUUAGGAAUCAAUGUGGUACCUGCAAGGUCAGCAAGGUCAGAACAGGGGAACCUGUCUGCUUACCCCUCCUGGGCUUGGGAGGCAUGGGGUCAGCCAGGCCAGCAGGUGCCCCAGGCUGGGGGUGGGUCAGGUACCCUGUGAGGGAGGGGCUCAUGUGCCUUGUGGAGGGGGGUGUCUGUGUGCCCUCUGCUUGGUGAGGGGGCUGGGUGCCCCAUGGGGGGUGCGUGUCCC